rnacentral:rRNA from 1 species
UACGUAGGGUGCGAGCGUUGUCCGGAAUUAUUGGGCGUAAAGAGCUCGUAGGCGGUCUGUCGCGUCGAUCGUGAAAACUUGGGGCUUAACCCUGAGCUUGCGGUCGAUACGGGCAUGACUGGAGUUCGGCAGGGGAGACUGGAAUUCCUGGUGUAGCGGUGAAAUGCGCAGAUAUCAGGAGGAACACCGGUGGCGAAGGCGGGUCUCUGGGCCGAUACUGACGCUGAGAUGCGAAAGCGUGGGGAGCAAACAGG